CAAAGAUAUUGUUAUGUGUAUCACUUGAGGUAGAACCAAGACCCUGCCUCAAGGCUAUAGUAUUGUUUCUUGACGGCUCCUCUCUUGCCUCUGCAUCCCCUUUUCCCUGAAUAGCAACUGUUUUUGGAAAGCGUCCAUGCCCAGGAGCCCCACAGGGUCUUUCUUGGUUUCACUAUUGUUCAAAUGUGUGACUUAAAGAAAUUAUGAAAAUCACAACAUUGUAAAAAGAAUCUUGAAUAGGAUUAAGUCUUUCCAGGCAAAAACUGAAACCAGAAGCUACAAAGGAAAAUUUUGACAAAUUAAGCUAUGCAAGAGGCAAAAACUUAUAUGUAGAAAAAAGGAAAAAUUGAAACUCACAAGGUAAAUGCAUUUUCAAAACAUGUGGCACAAGACUCAAUUCUUUGGUAUAUUAUAUAAAGAGCUUUUACAAAUCAAUAACAAUGGAAAAAGAAAUAGGCAAAGGGUGUGAAUAUACAUAGGAAAAAAAUUCAAAAUCCAGUAAAUAGAUGAUAACAGGCCAAACAGUGAUAUAUCAUUUUUCAUUAUCAGAGUGCCCAACAUUUAAAACUUUGAUAAUACCCAGUGAUGGAGAAGAUAUAGGAAAACCAGCACCCUCAUGUGUUGUGGUAGAAGUAUAAAUCAGUGCUAGCAUUUUAGAAGGCAAUUUGUAAGAGUUUUAAAAAUUUAAAACAAGUAUAUUAUUUGAUACAGCAAUUCCUCUUCUAGAGAUUUAUUUUUAAUGAUUUACUCAUACCAAUGAACAAAGAAUUCUAUGUACAGGGUUCAUUUUAGGUUUACUUCUAAGAGGAAAACAAGUGGUGAGAAAUGGGAAACAACCUAAAUGUCUGUGGUAGUGUUACAUUUUAUCUCCAAAUUUGAAACAGGAAGGGGGCACAACCUCCAAAAGAAUGACAUAGCCUGAGGACAUGAUAUAAACUGAUCAGAACCAACUAGAUCCAAGAUGGCAGUAAGCCAAGAAUCCACACUUGGUGACUGUCCAGGGAUUCAGACGUAACCUGGGAUGUGACCACUUUCCUGCACCUCACUCUUUUUCUUGCAACAAGUUGAGACUCCUCCCUUCAAAGAGUGCAGUAAAAUUACCCUCCCUUCAAGUGUGGCUGUACUAGUGACCGUAAUAAACAGAAUGUGGUGUAAGUGAUGCUUGUUGCCUUUCAAGACUGCAUUGUAAAAGCCAUUUUGGUUUCUUCCUCGUUCUCCCUGUUGGAUUCCUUGCUGUAGAAGAAGCUAGCUGCCAUAUGGAGAGGACACUGAAACAGCCUAAAGGAGAGAUUUGAGCGGUAGGAACUGAAGCCUCCUGCCAGCAGCUGUGUGUGAGCUACCUGGGAGGUUAGAUUCUCCAGCCCUAGUCAAGUCUUCUGAUGGCUUCAGCUCCAGCUGACGUCUUGGCUGAAACUUCAUAAGAGACCCAGACCCAGAAGAACCCAUCGAAACCACCCUUAAAUGUAUUACCAGAGGGCCAUGAGAUAACAAGUGUUUGCUGUUUUAAGCUCCUCAGUUUCAUUAACAAUAAAUUAAAAAUAUAUUAAAUAAUUUAGAAACUGGUUGAUAAAGUAUUAUACUGACAUACAAUGGAG
ensembl:lncRNA